rnacentral:tRNA from 1 species
UGGGGAGUAGCCAAGCGGUAAGGCAACGGCCUUUGGAGCCGUCAUUACGAUGGUUCGAAUCCAUCCUCCCCAGCAA